AUUGAACGCUGGCGGCAUGCUUUACACAUGCAAGUCGAACGGCAGCACGGACUUCGGUCUGGUGGCGAGUGGCGAACGGGUGAGUAAUACAUCGGAACGUGCCCAGUUGUGGGGGAUAACUACUCGAAAGAGUAGCUAAUACCGCAUGAGAACUGAGGUUGAAAGCAGGGGAUCGUAAGACCUUGCGCAACUGGAGCGGCCGAUGGCAGAUUAGGUAGUUGGUGGGAUAAAAGCUUACCAAGCCGACGAUCUGUAGCUGGUCUGAGAGGACGACCAGCCACACUGGGACUGAGACACGGCACAGACUCCUACGGGAGGCAGCAGUGGGGAAUUUUGGACAAUGGGCGAAAGCCUGAUCCAGCAAUGCCGCGUGCAGGAUGAAGGCCUUCGGGUUGUAAACUGCUUUUGUACGGAACGAAAAGCUUCGGGUUAAUACCCUGGAGUCAUGACGGUACCGUAAGAAUAAGCACCGGCUAACUACGUGCCAGCCGCCGCCGUAACAC
rnacentral:rRNA from 1 species